ACCUUCUCCGAAAUUCUCCAUUUUCGUAUACAAUCUCAGGAAAAUUAGGGAGAACCGUGUACCGCUCGGAACCGAUCGCAGCUACGAAUGAUAGAGUCGAUUUGUUGGCAGUCGGCGUAAUGACGAGCAUUUCGAGAAGUACCGUCCGAUCGAGUGGCGGGUACGCGCGAACAUUAUUUUCAGUUCGACGAUGGAACUAUCAAUUUUCGAGUGCACGCGGGUCGCUGUACCGUUAACCGUGCGCCGACGAUUACGAUAUUAUUAGCGGCAUUGUUCCCCGUAACGAGGAUGACGAUCGGCGGACCCCUUCGACGGAGGAAGAAACCGCCCGACUCUCGAAGACGUCGGUUUCGGGCGGAGGUCCGCGGAACCAUCGACGAAACAAAGUAGUCUGCUGCCGUCCGACCGAAUGAUAAUAGCGGGACAAUGACGGACGGACGGGUAUAAUUAAAGAAAAUCGUGGGUUGUCGUCUAACGGCUCUCCACCACCGCGGGACCACCGAGCGAGUCGCAGAACCGUGGUACAGUUACAGGUAACGCCGAAGCCCGGCGAGAAUGCAACGCGCCGUGGCUCGUUCGUCGCGCAAGUUUCCUUUUAACGACUGGCAACCGGAACCGAAGAAACCGAGGCGCCUGUCGGAACAACGGAGAUCCAGGUUUCUGGCGCAGGCUUCGAUUAAACGAAAUCAACGGCUGCCCCGCGAUCGUAUCUUUACGGGACGAUUCUCGACGGGAGAAGAUCGCGAAACGACAUUCCGGAAAAGCUGACAGAGCGCAAACACAGCGAAACGGGAGCAUCGUUGUCUCGCGGCGACGUUUAUCGUUCGCCGCGAAGACGCGCUUUGGUGAUUUCGAUGACUGGAGAAAGACGCUGUCAACCGACGCUCCUCGGGCUCCUCGGAUGUUUCGCACGCGUUGCAUCUAGAGCGCGAAUUUCCGAGAUUUCGCAGAUUUCACCAGUCCACGUUGUCGCGGAACGACGGGUCGAGCUGCAGAAAAUUGAAAGAUCGCGGCCAGUCGAGUACGGGAUGCGUUCGGCGACCACAAAAAUAUCGCUGAAAGAAAGACAAAAUUUGAAUACAACCGACACGGAAAGAAACCCGUUCGUCUACGGACGGAGCAGGUUCGACGAGGUGUCCGACGAGAGUAUCGAAGCGAUUUUUAGCCCGUCCAGUUUCUAUGAGAUUUCUGCGAGACGAAGAUAAUUGAGAAAACCCGCGGUUCGUUCGCGGAAUACGGUAAUGUCUCUCUAAUCGACGCUCGGAUUGUUACGGCUCGUUUUUAUAGUUCCGAAUUGUCAAC